GCCAGCCAGGGUGGAACCAGAGAAACACAGUCAAGGAGAGCAUGAAGCACUUCAAGCAGAAGAAAGGAACUCAUACAGGUUUGGAACAACUUAAGAGAGAUCGUGGAAUGGAGACGGAAGACAGCAUACACCUCUUUGAGUAAUGGUAAUAUACAAAAGGAGAUGACAACAGAAGCAGACGUUGGGAUGGCGCAGAGGAGAACAAACUGGAGGAGAGACAGAAGGUCUGUAAACAAGCAAAUUAUUCUCCAGUGUAGCUCCAGUGAAUCUCUCACGUUGAUCCCUCUCGUUCAAGGACUCCAGCUUCAGCAAACCUGCAAGGACACAGACUGUCAUUAUUCAGCAACUCUUUCACAGGACUGGUUUCAGUAUUCUCACUCAACUGCCAUUGCUCUCCAUGAUCUCCCAUCCCCUGCUUUUCAAUAAACCUGCCUGUUGAUCACUUGUUGUUUCUGGCCCUGUUUGUGACAGUAGUAAGGAACCAUAUUUACAUGAUAUUUUGAGAGGAAGUGUUUGCUAUACUAUGCUAUAACUUCAGU